GGGGGUAUAGCUCAGAGGUAGACUGUGUGCUUAGCGUGCACGAGGUCCUGGGUUCAAUCCCAGGUACCUCUA
rfam:Camelus ferus unplaced genomic scaffold scaffold1159, whole genome shotgun sequence.